UUUUUAAGUACAUUAAUGCAAAUUGUUCCGUUCUUUAUCUGGAAUCAUUUUUAGGAGUCCGUAUGCUACACCAAAAUUUGUUAAUUCGUAAGGCAUCAUGCUGCCAUAAAGAGCCUUUCUUUUUUUCUACAAGAACAAUAUAACUGCCUAUAUUUACAAAGACACAAGAAUUCAUGUAGCCAUUUUGUUUUCCGUUGAUAAAUUAAUUGUCUUUUUGCUUUUGAAUGAUGCGACAUGAUUUGGCAUUUAAUUUAUGAUUUUAGGACAUACCUAAUUUAAUUUUGUCAUUUUUGUUCCUGCAGGAUAGCAUCGCACCCCAAAAGGCCAAAAUUUCCUGUAUACAAUUUAAAAAGGAUAGUUAUUUUGGUGAAUCUAAAGUAGCAAAUUUGUUCAAGCAAGUUCACAAGUUUGAUUUUGACAAGUUCUGGUGUUGAUAAACAGUCCACCAUAGGCCAAUUAUUUUCUUUCUCUUUAACAAAGAGGUGGAAUUAUAAAAAAGAUUAUACAAUCAAUGCUGUAUCAUGAUCGCACAACGACAUUGCAAAAUUUCUUCUAAACAACAUCAAGCUUGAUUGUAACACCUAGCAUCUAAUGUUAGGCAGCGUGAUCUUUACCUGCCUCUUGCAAGAACAUCAAACGUUACAUUUGUGUACUGUACAUACCAACUAGAACUUGUCAAAGAAUAAGAUUUGUCCAACAUCUAUUAACUGAAUUCCUAUUAAAUGCACAUGUGAAAAAUCAUUUGGGAUGAAAUUUUGUCAAUGAAAUAUGAUUUCAUGGGUGUAAUGAUUAACUAUAACUUCUUUUACCGAUUGUUACGUAAUUUCCGUUUCAAGCAAAGUUAGUUUUAGGGCAAUGAAACAAGAGACAUUCCUAAUUGUGCAGGGAUGAGAAAGACCAUUGUAAGCCUGAAGAGAUUUUAUCAAAAGGACAAAUAAGGAUAAUACCGGAGAAAAGAGAUACGAAUUUCACUAUUGUGAUUUGCAUGCUUUUAGAAUACAUCAAUUAGUUUGUUAUCACGGUUUUCGUUUGAUUUAAUUCAUGCUAAAAUAGUACUUUUGUGUACGCUUUGUAUACGAGUGAUUGCAUAAUAACACAUGUAAUGUAUAGUUUCCAAAUUGUUUGUAAUUGUAUUUAUUUCGCAAAUUGACCUUUCAGUUCUUACGUUUUCAAGUGCUCCACAAGAUUAUCAAUAAAGAUCAUCAGUUCAAAAUUAAGAUGAGUGCUUGGAAUCAGUACGUCUCUGCCUCCACAAAUCCGUUAUGUAUUUAGGAAUCGAAACCCGCUACAAUGUGAGUGCCCUUAAGAAAUGUGAGUGACAGAAUUUGAAGGAGAUUUCUUAGCCUACUGGCUAAAUAAAUUCAUCAGUUCUGGUGUUAUCACCAGACAACACUUGAUGUUUCAGAACAUUGAUGCCUUUAUGACUUUAUGAACAGUUAACACAGCCCAAUCCAGUCACAAACUGGCAACAUUGGCCAACUCUGUUUAGCUUCUGUGAAUCUCUUGCUGAAGUAGCAUCAAGAAAAGGAUACAUUUUCUACCUUGGUGAUAAACACUUUGGUCUCAAAGAGCACAGAGACAUAAUGGCACAAAUACAUUCCUACUACAACCCUGGACCAUCACUAUCCACUCUGGAUUCACGAGUACUAGCACUGGUAUACAAUUCUGGUCCACAUCUGAGUAAUUUGAUGUCACUGUUAACGCUUUUAGAUACUCUCGAUGGCAUGCCAUGCAUUACAGCUCAUGGAUUAAAGAAGUAUUUGGUUGUGACUCAUUAUGAUGGGAUGCCUUUGAACAUUGGAACCUUUCCCAGUCAAGAAAAUGGCGAAACUCUCUCUGAUGGCAUUGUUCCCUCAAUUAAGCUGGAAACAAUGAGAGAACUUAAGCAAGGUGGUAAUACUGCUGUGCACAAGUUCAUUGCAGAUAACUGUUCCUGGAUAAGUGAAGUGAAAGAGUUUGAUGCCUUUGAUACCUCUGGAAAAGUUCAUGUCAAUAUUUUCACAAAGGUAUCUUCAUCUGGUGGUGAUGCUGACAAUGUAAAAAGAAAAUUGUGUGAAGUGCUUGAAUAUGUGGAGGCAUGUACUAAUUGUAUUUUGUCUGGGAAUGCAAAGAACUGCAAAUUCUCCUCUUCGAUGGAGGUUUGUACAAGAUGUAAGACACUUGACUUCGAAAAAGAGCCAUGCAUUAGUGCAAAAUGCAUACAUGUUUCUUCAGAUCAGGUCGCUUCCUAAUGCAAGGCCCACACAAAUUGAAUCAAGUUGCCUCUAAUGACAUUAAGGACCCAAGCUGCAGAUUUUUUUGGUUUUGGACUACUCUAUUUCUGUAAAAAUUGUAUUUCUUCUUUGCGUCAUUCCAGACUUAAAGACAUGCAUGAUACAUUUUUUGUGGCACUUUUAUCAUACGCCUGGGCAUCACACACAACUGCAGUAAGGAAAAUGAAAUCUGUUGCUCCAGCCAGUGUCUUUGCAUUCAGAGAUGCUCACAGUGAUGAGAUAUGUUACCAAACUGUCUCCAAGCUGCUGGAAGAUAUCAUCAAGGAAUGUGUAGCGAUUGUCACGACACUGAUUCCUGAGCAAUACAAACCCACUGCUACUGAAGUAAAGAGUCACAGCAUCCUUGGCUGGCCCCUCUAUGCUAUCAGGAAUGCAAAUGGAAACUUCUUUGGACUGAUGCUGAAUAUGAAUUUGUUGAUAUGGGCAACAGACAUAUUCCAACCAAAUGCACUGCAUUGAGAGCAUGGGAUCAGCCAGGUACCUAGUAUAAUUUCAUCUUCCUAUAUGCUGUAUAUACUGUACAGUAUAGCUAAAAGCUGUACUCUAUUCAUUUUAUAAUGGGUGAUGUUGGGAGUCACAAGUAAAUUCACCAGUACUUCUUACAUUGUAUUUACAUUUACCCUAGGCUUAUUUUUCUGUGAUGUAAUCAAUAUGAGCAUCCUAUCUGUAUGGUAAUUAUAAUGACCAAGCUAUUAUAAAUACCUAUACAGGCUGGAGACAACAAUUGUAGUGGACUUGUAAAAUGACUGUAAUUAUUUUUUCAAGACUCAAAACAGUGAUAUAAUCUUGAAAUCAGUCCCAUUCUCUGUCAGAAUUGGAGAAUGCCUAAUCCCUAUUUAGAUUACAUUUAAUGCCUAUUCUGUUUUGGGAUUUACAGUGCAUUCAUGUGACCAUACAUGUAAUAGUAUCUUUUCAUUGGAUUCAACCCAUUCGUUGUCGAAUUUUACUGAAUUUUACACCUUAAUUUAUACAAGGUUAUUUCCAUAUCAGGAACUAAUGUUUUGAUGCUGGAAAACAAACAGUCCAAGUUAGGUUGAUAUCCAGCCUCUUGUUUUAUAAUAAACCCCAAGCCAUAUGGUACCCUCCCCCCCCCCCAAAAAAAGGUAAUAACUUUCUUCAUUUUGCUUUUUAGGUCCAGCACAUUAGAGCCCUAUGUUAGCCUCUAAAGCAUCAUUUAGGCACCUAGCUGGCAUUGAUGCCCUUAUGAGCCUGGAAAAAAUGAAAUUGCAUUUGUUAGUAACAAAGGAAAUUCCUUUAUUUGCUUUAUUAAGGGGUGUUCACUCUUUUCAAACAGAUAAAUUUGUCAGUACUUUAAAAUUACAGCCUGUUCCUACCAACUGGAAACUUGAAGGGUUAGCAGUUGUUGGCACUGACACAAUUGCAGUCACAGAAGGAACCACCCGUUACUUGGUACGUAUGGAAUCAACCUUCAAUGCAGGUUAGCUUAUCGAAGUAGUUGAUAACUUGCAAUCUCCAUGUGGCCUUUGCCUGCCCAAAACGGAAGGAACUGUCUGUGUUGCUGAUGGCCACACCAUUAAACAAAUUGAAUUAGAAAGCAAAUCUGUUGGAGUCAUUGCCAAUGGUUUUAAGCAAGCUUUGGACGUAGAUUUGUCAUCAAAUGGGGAUCUUGGUGUGACUGAUGUCCAAGUACACAAAAUUUCUUCAAAAAGACCUAAAUGGAACCUACAAGGUUAAGCUCACAGUUGGAAAUGGAACUAUUGGUUGCUCCGAUGGUCCUGCUGCCAAAGCACAACUUUCAGAGCCCACAGGACUGUGCUUUGACUUUGGCAGUGCCAUUUUCCUUGCUUUGGUGGAAGCCAAAAUGGCUGCAUUAAGAUUUGCACUGCUGUGAACUUUGCAUGUAACUUUAUGGCCAAGGUAAGAGAAAUUUACCACGUGAUUGGGUUUCUCCCCAAAAAGGAAGAAAACCAUUUGGCUCAGCUUGGAAAGAAUCCCACAUCCCCAUUUGUGGAAGGCACCAACAAGCUCAUAGAUUCAUUAGCUUACUUAGAGAGCUUGGUAGCCCAGCGGAGAGAGCAUCUCAAAAUGGCAACAGCUGGCCCUGAGGGGACUGUGUACCAUGCCUCAGUUCAAGGCUUUGCAGAGACUGUGAAGGGUUUAGAAGCUCAUAUCCAAUCACUUGAGUUGUUAGAAGAGAAUCAUGUUUUAAAUUAUUUAAACCUCUAUGCCUUUGUGAAUGAAUCCCCUAAGGAGCAUGGGUUUGCAAAACACAAACCAAAAGGUCAGAACAGACAUCCUACUGUUCAACAGUAUGUGCACAGCAAAGGUCACCAUGAAGUGGAACUUGUCAGUGCCCACAUGCCUAUCACACUAACACAUUCAGUGCUUACCAGCCCAACCACAAUUCCAGAUUGUCUUCUGUGAAAACUGUUACACAGUACCAGCAAUGGAGCAAACAGUUUUGUCCUCAACAGCAGCUGGUGACCAAUGAGCAAACAGAAGAGGACCCAAAGGUGGCAAGAAUGCUUAAUGUCUUGACGAAAGCCAGACCAUCCCAGAACAUCAGGGACUUGUGUAGGUACAAAUGUGGGUAUGGCCCUUGUGUGACCACUCAAAAAGAUAUGCUCUUGCAAGGAGGUUUAGAUGGGUGUCAACUUUGCUUCCCGGCAUUUGAUGAACUGGUGAGAGCACUUGAAAUUAGGAGAGGAGAAAACACCACAGAGAUUGGCCGUGUCCCAUCCACUGAUUAUUUAUUUGUUCCUGGGGAUAUUGUAGCAGUGAACCCAGGGACAGAUAAUGAAAUCCCCAGUGCUGAUAAAUAGUGGCUUCUCCAGGUCAACAAGCCACAUGCAUUGAAUAGAGAUUUUGGAUAUUUGAAUAGAGAUUUUGGAUUUUGGCUCAAUGAACACACAUAUGAUGAGUCUACCUCUGCAAAUCAUUUAACUCUUCUACCAGAUUCAGUGAAGGUCUACUUUGGUAGCAUUAUCAAGGACAACAAAUUCCAGUUGUUGUGCCAGUGAAGGAACUGAAUUCAGAUUGGCAAAAUGGACAUGUAGUGUACACAUUAACAAAUGAGUAUUGCAACAAACUGGAUGAUGUCUGAUGCUCUUAGGCAAGAGCUGAAUUUAGUGGAGUCAUGUGUUGAGGAAAGAGGUGUGGAUUCAGACAGUAAUGAUGAUGGUGAUCAACAAACAGACGUCCACAAGGUGGAACUCACAGCUAUGCAACAUAGAAGGAGAGUGAUGAGAAAUGUAGAUGGUCAGGUCCUGACUUCUAACAGGGAACUUUCACAUCUGCAUCCAGUGAGGCAAAGCCAAUGUCAUCUACAGCAUUUAGCUCACACUGAGGGGGGAUUGGAAGCAGAACGAAAUCGUGUGGAAUUUGAUGACCAUGCAGAAGGAGAUACAGAAUAAAUGUAAAUAAUUGACAUUAAUUAUCGUUAUCUUAUCAUGACUUCAAAUUCAAUAAGUAAGAGAGAGAACUGUACAACUCAAGUCAAAAAUGUGAUGUUGUCUGCUUUGAAGAUUAGUGAGGAUUUAGUCAAUUCAAUGCAAUUCUGUAGCGUGCACCGUCUAAACAAAGUAGUGGAAGGCCCAGACCGGUCAUUGCUCAUUUCACUUAUCGAGAAGAUUGAGACCUGGUUUGGCAACAAAGAUAAAACCUAAAAGGCAGUUGUUCUAGCCUUGCCGAGGACCUGCCUCUGGCUGUACAAAAAAUCAGAAAAAUGAUAUUAGUACCAGCAAUGAGGGAAGCAUGAAAGAUAGCAGGUAUGAGAGCUAGAUCACUCGAGACCGUCUUAUUGUAAACAGAAGGCACAUUACACCUUUCAUCAAAUUCCAAAAAAAUGGAGUGGAAACAACAAAAGCUGAAUCACAAAAUUAUAUCAGACUUGUCUUAAUGUUAUUGUUUUUUCCUUCCUCCUCCUUUUUUUUCUACAAAUCAAGGGCUUAUCAAAUUUUGAUAUAAAUGUUUACUUUUAUUCGGAGUGCCAAACAAAAAUAUGCUUGUUUAAGGUCUUUAGUGUUUGUGCCAAUUACUGUUAUGUAAUAUAAGAGUUUGAUUGACAUAAUCUGAUGAUCUAGAAGCACAUGAUUGCUGUGUAUAAGGUUGGGAGAAUUUUAUAAUAAAAUUAACUGCAAUGUCAA